CUGUGGGUCCGAGAUGCAUGUUGCAUGUGCCCUGGGAACUGCAGCCAAGUCUUGACUUUGGUCCCUUGUCUGUGUUUUUCCUGCAGGAGCCUGAACUGAGUCCACACACUGAACUCACAGACCUGCAGGAGGAGAUGGAAGAAAGAAAACCAGCAGGUUUUGAGGAUGAGAAGAACCCAAGUAAUAGCAGAGGAGGUGCUGUGCAGGAGAGAUUGCUGCAGUGGCAUCCAGGACUGUCAGUGGAAGUGGGGAAUGACAUGACACCACCUUUCGGACACCCAACUGGCAAGAGGUGCAUCUGCCUCGGAGACACAGCGCCUAUCUCCAGAUGAUAAUUUGUUCAGCA
rnacentral:lncRNA from 1 species